UACGCCGAGAGUGCGCCCCUAAAAAAAAAAUUUUUUUUUUAAGACUCUUUGUCACCUAACUGGUGAUCUAUCCAGAGCAAAACAGAAGCUGCCUCUUGCUCCAGAGCUUCAUGCUCUCCAGCUGCCCACAGAAUCUGGCCGAAGCUAGUCUCCGCUGAUGCCAUAUCCUUGUUGAGCUUCCUCCACCCCAACCCCAGCCCUACCUUACUCUAUCCUGAAAGCCUUCCUUCAGUGAAUCACAUGCGCCUGAUUCUCUUUCUCAGACUCUGCUUCUAGAGAACCUGACCUAAGAUAAGAGGAAAACGGAUGAUGCAACAGAUGGAGGCCGAGAGCAGGGGAACUCGAAUAAACACAUCAACAGCCCCAGACAUCCUCCACCAGGUCUUCAUCCAAAAAGUCUUCUCAUACAAUCCAAUUCUAUCCUGUAGCGGAAGCAGACUGAUGAGUAAAUGAAUGACCUUCCUUCUGUACUUUCUAGCUGGGGACACAGCUACCGGCUGUAAAACAUGACACAUCAAAACACAAAUCUCUGCCAUGACCUCCGAGAAGGAAGGUCAUUUAAGUGUAUCUCUUCCUUCACUCCCUUCCUCCACCCCCAAUAUUUUCAUACAGCGAAGCAGACACAAGAAACUUCUCUCCAGCUCUCAGUGCUUUGCUCAUCUAAUCUUUCCCAUACUUUGUCCUGAUGAAAAUCCUUUCCUGAGCUCUUGUUCUUUUCUGAAUCCCCAGCCCUAAGGAGAGCGCCCGGGCACCAGGAGGGUGCUGUAAACAGUUCCUGACGGAAUUGGGGAAGGAGGGGAGUGUGAAAAGGGCAGGAGGAGGAUACCAGGAGGAACCACCGGGAAAGGGCUUUGAGGGAGCCAAGGCCCCCUGAGCCCGUUGGCUGCAAGCGCCUUGUGAAAGCGCAGAGGCGGCGGCGUGUCGGACUUCCCAGCCCUCGGGCGGGCUCCAGACCGCGAAGCGGCGGCCGAACCAGCGGAUUGGGGGCCCGCCCGCAGAGGCGGGGCUCAGUCCAGAACCCCGGCUUCCCCGGAAAGGAAAGGCCUGCCAGUUCCCCGGCGGCGUCCCGAGCAGCCUAACGCAGCCAGAGGGAGCGCGGGGCGCGCGGCACCCACAGCCACAGCCGAGGGCAGGGGGCGCUGGGACGCGGCCCUUUCCAGGGGCUUCGGGUUCGAAGACUUCUUCCCCCAGAAGGAAGGCAGUCGUCUGAGAAGCCGAGGCGUCUUCCCGGAAACCGUGCACGGGACGCCCUCGGGAAGGACGAAGGUAUGGAUCACUUGGGGCGGAUCAUCUCUUUAGGCAAACUCAUCUACAACCAAUGUGAGGAGAUGAAAUACUGCCAGAAACAGUGCUGGCGUCUUGGGAACCGUGUCCAAGGCCUGCUGCAGCCUCUGCAAAUGCUCCGGGACCAAGGAGAGAGGAACCUGUCCCCUGAGAUAACCACCGCCCUGAGCCGUUUCCAGGCUGUCCUGGAGGAAGCUAAGGAGAAGAUAGAUAAGUUCAGCAAAAAAUCCAAUAUCCAGAAGUUUCUAAGAGCAGGCCAUGACAGAAUACUCUUCAGUGGAGUGAACAAGAGGCUGAGAGAUGUCUGGGAGGAGCUCUCGCUGCUGCUUCAGGUGGAUCAACGGAUGCAUAUUUCGAGGAUCAGCCCAGGAGUAUCCUGGCAUCAGGAGGACCAGCAGGAUGCAGAGGAAGACAAGCGAGUUAUCCAAGGACUGAGAAGAGAAAAUGCAGUUAUAGAAACUUUAUUGAAACAGUUGGAAAACACCACGAGGGAAACCAUUGAAACCGUGAGGAGCUUGAUGCAGUCAGAUGCACACAAACCCAAGAAGGGGCUCCCAGAAGAGAAAAUCAAGGAGAUUAAGAAGGAGGAACUUCCAAAAGCUGAUUGGGUCCUGCUCAGGAAGAAUGAAUGCAGCACCCUUUAUGAGGGAAAAUACCACAAAUCUCCAGUGGCCAUAAAAGUCUUCAACAAAUCCCAGGCCAGCGACAUUGGACUAGUAAGGCGUACUUUCCAUAAUGAAAUCAGAACCAUGAAGAAGUUUGAUUCUCCCAACAUCCUGCGUAUGUUUGGAAUUUACAUUGACGAAACAGUGACCCCCCCUCAGUUAUCCAUCGUCAUGGAGUACUGUGAGCUUGGGACCCUCAGAGAAGUGCUGGAUAAGGAAAAGGACCUCGCCCUCGCCCUGCGCAUCGUCCUGGUCCUGGGGGCAGCCAGAGGCUUGUACAGGCUGCACCAUUCAGAGACCCCCGCAGAACUCCAUAGAAACAUCAGCAGCACGAGCUUCCUGGUCACUAAAGACUACAAUGUGAAGCUUGCAGGAUUUGAAUUGAGCAAAACACAGACUUCUAUCAGCCGACACACGAGAGGAAAAGAAGCAGAGAAGGCCAGUUCUGCUGCGUACAUCUCACCUCAGAUACUGAACAAUGUGUAUCAUAAAUAUGACAUAAAAGCUGAAAUAUACAGCUUUGGCAUCGUCCUCUGGGAAAUUGCCACUGGGAAGAUCCCCUUUGAAGGUAACGGGCUGUGGUUCCAAGGAGAUCCACCAGCUGGUGGUGGAGAACCGUCACCAGGAGCCCCUGGGUGAGGAUUGCCCUCCCCAGUUGCAGGAGGUCAUUGACGAUUGCCGGGCGUGGGACCCCUCCUGGAGGCCCUCUGUGGAAGAAAUCUUGGAGAGACUGUCUCCCUUUUGUGAAGCCACGUGUUGAAACUGAAACUGAGUCCCUGAACAAGGAGCUGGAAGAGACACAAGCCAGAAAUCUUUUUUUUUUUUUUUUUUUUUUUUUUUGUCUUUUGUCUUUUUUAGGGAUGCAUCCAAGGCACAUGGAGAUUCCCAGGCUAGGGGUUGCUGCCAGCCUACACCACAGCCACAGCUACGCCAGAUCUGAGCUGCGUCUGCAACCUACACCACAGCUCAUGGCAACACAGGAUCCUUAACCCACUGAGCGAGGCCAGGGAUCGAACCUGCAACUUUAUGGUUCCUAGUUGGAUUUGUUUCCACUGUGCCAUGAUGGGAACUCCUGGAAAUCUUUCUCUCUCACAUCCUCAGCAUGGAUUUACGUGCAUGGAGGCAGCACUUCUUUGUUACAAAUAGAAAACAACUCCAGUAAUACAGAGUACAUCCCACUGCAAAUGAUAUUGCCAAAAAUACUCCUCUUAGGAGUGCCUGUCGUGGCUCAGUGGUUAAGGAAUCUGACUUGGAACCAUGAGGCUUCGGGUUCAAUCCCUGGCCUUGCUCAGUGGAUUAAGGAUCCGGCGUUGCCGUGAGCUGUGGUGUAGGUUGCAGGCAUGGCUCGGAUCCUGCAUUGCUGUGGCUCUGUUGUAGGCCGGCGGCUACAGCUCCGAUUAGACCCCUUCCCAUUAGGAAGCGGAGUCUGUGUCUGCCCAUUUGGAUAUGGGCUGGCCUUGAAACUGGCUUUGGCCAAUAGAAUGCAGAAGUGAGAUGGGCUGCUUUCAAGCCAAGCUUCUUUCAAGAGGCCUUACAAACUUCCACUUGGAACCCACCCUGCCAUGGACAGGCUGGGCAAGGGUGCUGGAGGGUGAGAGAGUGAAAGACCACAUGGCACAGAGAAAACCCGUCCCCCCUGAGUGGGUCGCAUGAGUGUGUCCAGUCAAGACCACAAGAACCACACAGUGGAACCAGCCCAAACUGCCAUUUUACAAAAUCAUGAACUAAAUAACUGUAGCCUCAAGCCACCAAGUUCAGGGGUGAAUUGUGUCAUAGUGGUCAAAGCUGCACAAACACACUUCAGUCCUAUCUGAACUAAAAGAAACUCCCUCUUCGGGUCCCCAAGGCCUUGUAUCUCUGACCCCAACCUGGCUUCUAGUUUGAGUCCCAGAGCUCUCUUGCCAGAGAUCGCAAACUCUAACGUUUGCAGGAUCUAGGAAAGAACCUGAAUGGGUGAGCCGAGCCUCCAGGAGAAUUUGGGGAACAGAUGAGCCUUGGGAAGAAGGGUAGCUUCUGCUCAGCUCCAGCCUAUUUUAGUCACGUAGGACUGGAACCCCAGUGUUUCUAGAACAUUCCAUUUUGUCAAAUGAAGCUGGAAAUGUAUAUUUUUUCUGUAAAUUGCCCAACUUUUUAAAGGUUGGCAUCUCAUUAAAAAUUAUUUUAAUACUGUUGUAUAGGACAAACAAAAAAAAGCCUAGGAGCUCUUAGAUUUGGGGAAACCCAUGUCUCCUGCAUGUGGCUCAUUUGCUCCGAAUUUUUACCCCUUUACUCUCCGUAUUUGCUAGAAUACACUAACACUUAACUGUAUGUUACUGCUUCCCUGAGCCUCCCCACCCCCCCGAAACUCAUCCUAAAUCAUUCAGCAGCAAAUGUGCUGGGCAUUGUUGCAAUCACUGAGGAGGCAACAAUAAACAAAGUACAUUUGGAAUUUAUUGUGAAGAAAUCAUCUCUGGAGAAUAAAAUAGCUAAUUUUUAUUGCUUUUUUUUUUUUUUUUUCUUUUUAUGGCUGCAGCUGUGGCAAAUGGAAGUUCUUGGACUAGGAGUCGAAUCUGAGCCACAUCUGCAAACUGUGUGGCAGCUUGCAGCAAUGUGGGAUAGUUAACCCACUGAGUGAGGCCAAGGAUUGAACUCCCAUCCUCAUGGACACCAUUUUGGGUUCUUAAACUGCUGAGCCACAUUGGAAGUCCCUGAUUUAUAUUCCUUUUUAUCUUUUAUUCUUGACUUUUAAAUUUUUAUUUAUUUAUUUUUCAAGGGCCACAGGAAUGGCAUAUGGAAGUUCCCAGGCUAGGGGUCAAAUGAGAGCUAUAGCUGUUGGCCUACACCACAGCCAAAGCAAUACCAGAUCAGAGCCGUGGCUGCAGCCUAAUACACAACUCAUGGCAAUGCUGGGUCUUUAACCCACUGAGUGAGGCCAGGGAUCAGACCUGCAACCUCAUGGUUCCUAGUCAGAUUCGUUUCCAUUGCGCCAAAAUGGGAACUCCCAAUUUUUCUUUUUUGCUUCUAUGUACUGUCUAAUUUUUCUGCAUCGAACAUGCUAUUACUUAUAUACCAAUGAGAAUCAUUCAAGAUGUUUUUCAUUCUACUCAAUAAUAUAUGCAUUUGAUCACAAAAGAAAAUUCCUUUCUCAUAUUAGCCUUGUGGUAGUUCAGUAGAAGCUCCUGUAGAGGCAGGAAAGGGUUGGGGGGGGUUGGCAGUACAAAUGCCAACACUGACUUCAAGACAGUGAAGUAAGAGUUUUAACUAAGGGACAUAACCUCCCCCUCCUCCCCUCAAACCAUCCUUCUGGUAAUUAUGUAGCAACCACAUCCCCUGUGUCUAAGUCAGUAGACCCUGCCAAUGUUGCUCCAGGCAUUGUUUAUCAGUUUUGCUUCUGUAAUCUUGCUUGCUCAGUUUUUUAGGCAGGAGCACCCUCUGCUCUGGGAAGGGAGAAGUUUGGGGCUGCUUACAUGAGAAAAAUAAGACCCUGUACUGUAUAAAAGUUUCUGAGAACAAAGACCUGGUGCUCAGACUCUGGAGGUGACUCCUCUGAGCCCACAGUGGUGUGCUGAAUAAACCUUGCUUUUCCAUCUCCGAG